rnacentral:rRNA from 1 species
CUACGGGGUGCUGCAGUGAGGAAUAUUGCACAAUGGAGGAAACUCUGAUGCAGCAACGCCGCGUGGAGGAUGAUGCAUUUCGGUGUGUAAACUCCUUUUAUAUGUCAAGAAAAUGACGGUAGCAUAUGAAUAAGCUCCGGCUAACUCCGUGCCAGCAGCCGCGGUAAUACGGAGGGAGCAAGCGUUACUCGGAAUCACUGGGCGUAAAGGGCGCGUAGGCGGGAUAGAAAGUCAGGUGUGAAAUCCUAUGGCUCAACCAUAGAACUGCACUUGAAACUUCUAACCUAGAGUAUGGGAGGGGAAGAUGGAAUUAGUGGUGUAGGGGUAAAAUCCGUAGAUAUCACUAGGAAUACCAAAAGCGAAGGCGAUCUUCUGGAACAAUACUGACGCUAAGGCGUGAAAGCGUGGGGAGCAAACAGGAUUAGAUACCCGAGUAGUC